AGCUUGCUGGUUCUGGAUGAGUGGCGAACGGGUGAGUAACACGUGAGUAACCUGCCCCCUUCUUCUGGAUAACCGCAUGAAAGUGUGGCUAAUACGGGAUAUUCUGGGUCUGUCGCAUGGCGGGUCUGGGAAAGAUGCGCCUUUGGGUGUUUUUGGUGGGGGAUGGGCUCGCGGCCUAUCAGCUUGUUGGUGGGGUGAUGGCCUACCAAGGCGGUGACGGGUAGCCGGCCUGAGAGGGUGGACGGUCACACUGGGACUGAGACACGGCCCAGACUCCUACGGGAGGCAGCAGUGGGGAAUAUUGCACAAUGGGCGCAAGCCUGAUGCAGCGACGCCGCGUGAGGGAUGGAGGCCUUCGGGUUGUAAACCUCUUUCGCCAGUGAAGCAGGCCUGCUCCUUGUGGGUGGGUUGACGGUAGCUGGAUAAGAAGCGCCGGCUAACUACGUGCCAGCAGCCGCGGUAAUACGUAGGGCGCGAGCGUUGUCCGGAAUUAUUGGGCGUAAAGAGCUCGUAGGCGGCUGGUCGCGUCUGUCGUGAAAUCCUCUGGCUUAACUGGGGGCUUGCGGUGGGUACGGGCCGGCUUGAGUGCGGUAGGGGAGACUGGAACUCCUGGUGUAGCGGUGGAAUGCGCAGAUAUCAGGAAGAACACCGGUGGCGAAGGCGGGUCUCUGGGCCGUUACUGACGCUGAGGAGCGAAAGCGUGGGGAGCGAAC
rnacentral:rRNA from 1 species